rnacentral:rRNA from 1 species
GAUGAACGCUAGCGGCAGGCCUAAUACAUGCAAGCCAAGGGCUGUUUGGUGUAGCAAUACAUCAAACAACCGGCGGACGGGUGCGUAACGCGUAUGCAACCUACCCUAUACAGGAGGAUAGCCCUCGGAAACGAGGAUUAAUACUCCAUAAGAUUGCUUAGAGGCAUCUUUAAGCAAUUAAAGCCGCAAGGCGGUAUAGGAUGGGCGUGCGUCCGAUUAGCUAGUUGGUGGGGUAACGGCUCACCAAGGCGAUGAUCGGUAACGGGUCGGAGAGGAAGUUCAGUCACACUGGAACGGAGACACGGUGCAGACUCCUACGGGAGGCAGGAGUGGGGAAUAUGGGACAAUGGGAGAAAGCGUGAUUCAGCCAUGCCGCGUGGGUGAAGAAGGUCUGCGGAUUGUAAAGCACUUUAAGUUGGGAGGAAGAGCAGUAAGUGAAUACCUUGCUGUUUUGACGUUACCAACAGAAUAAGCACCGGCUAACUUCGUG